ACUCGGUAGGAUCAGUUCAAAAAUACAAUCAAAUGUCCAAACAAAACCCCAUUUAGAGCAUUCAUGUGUCAUCAUCUGGUUGUAUUUCUACACAGGUCAGUAGCAAGUUGAAAACAACAAUCUUCAGGUUACACAGGAAACCUCUGAUCUAAUAAACGUGGAGCAAGUCACCACAUUCAGGUAGUUUACAUCCAGUCUCAACAACCCAUUGUGAAUGGACUAUUCAAGCUGGAUGGGCCAUUAAGAAGAAUCAACUCUCCAGACAGCUCUUCCUGAGGAUGCCUCAGACAGCACAGAGGCAAUGGCCACCCCUGGGAUUCAGCAAAACAUGUUUAGUUAGAACUGUUGUCCCAGAGGAACAGAGCUGUCCUGGAGGGUCUUGAAUAAGGAUGUGGUCACUGAUGUACCUCAGUCCUGGCAUAGAUGGCUUUAAGAAACAAGAAAAAGCACCUGAAGUUGCAACAAAAGUGGAUUGAGAGUCAUAGGAAGGUGCUGAGCAUGGAGUGAUAUCCUCACAGCAACUGCCCAUCCUGAAGAGAAGGCAGAUACAAGAAUGGCCACACUGAGUCAGAGGAAAUGGUCCAUCUGACCCAGUAUCCUGUCUGACAGUGGACAGUUCCAGAUGCUUCAGAACAAGCUUCUGUCUCAGCAUUGCUUCAGCACAGAGCUGGUAGGAAAACUGGACAUUUUUUGUGCAAAAUUUCAACAACCCCCCCCCCCCCCACACACACAC